ensembl:lncRNA
GACCAUGAGGAACAAAUCUAAGGUGCUGUCGUUUACUGUAACCCGAGCGAACAUCGAGAUUUUGCCACGCCCUUUUAGCGCGCGUCCAGCGCAUCUGUAUCUCAGCUUCUGAAGGUCGUAGAUACUUGAAUUCGGUCUCAAAAUGACCGGAAUAUGCAUGUAUAUAUAUUAUUAUAUAUGGACUAUGAAGGUUUAUAAGCUCUAAAACCUUUACUUUUCGAGAUAUUCAAGGAAACACUUUUUUUUUUAUUUGCGUGGUGCGCAAAAAGUACUCCACUAGCAGGCUCAAGUUGAGUAUGCAUUAUGAGCGGCACAAGUUUUCUCAACGGUUUCUGGCUAAUUUGACCAUGAGGAACAAAACUAGGGUGCUGCCAUUUACUGUCACCCGAGCGAACAUCGAGAUUUUGUCACGCAUGCCUUUUAGCGCGUGUUAUUGCAGUGUUUUAACUCGAAAAGUUAUUGCAGUGUUUUUAUUUUUUUACUCAGUAACGGAUGUGUCAGAUAUUGAGAAUAAGAUAGCUGCUCUCAGCAAUACAGGAGUUCCUACAGAGAGGACAAAGAAGAAGAUAAUGAGCACAUCACAAAGAAGAAAAAUUUCUCAAGAUGUAACAACAAAACCCAGUAUUGGCUCAGGAUUUCUCAGGAAAAGGUCAAUUAACUUGUGAAAGAAAGAUAUCCUCCUCACUGUCGCUGACUGCAACCAUUACAAUGACAGUUCAAGGAAACAGAUGUCACAGAUGUUACAAGUGACUCAAAGUGGCUAGAGUGACUCAGAAUGCAGUUAGUAUUGGCACACUUUACACUGCAUGAAUCCAGUUAGUAUUGGCACACUUUACACUGCAUGAAUCCAGUUAGUAUUGGCACAUGUUAAUGAAGAUUGGCAUAUGUUACACUGCAUGAAUCCAGUUAGUAUUGGCACACUUUACACUGCAUGAAUGCAGCUAAUAUUGGCACACUUUACACUGCAUGAAUGCAGCUAAUAUUGGCACAUGUUACAUUGCAUGGAAGCAAAAGCUCAUAUCAUAGAGAGUCAAUUUGGGGUGUAAUGAAUGGAGUGUUGUGCCACAAAGGUUAAUGAAUCAAACUACUAUUGCUUAUUACUUUCAUAAUAGUCAGGAUUGUAAGGUCACUUCCACGUCCACUUUUAACAUCUGUGAUAUCCCUGCUGAGACAUUGUUAUGUACCCUAUAUAGACUGGCAGUUAGUGUUGUACUGAUUCAAUGUAUUUACAUAGGAGGCCAUGCUACUGUAUUUACUGUUGAUUUCUCCAUGUAUGAUUUGUUCACAGUAUGGAUAUACCCAACCUUUAGAAAUUGCAUGUAAUGAUUGAAUAAAUAACAGUUUGAAAUCCCUUGAGCUCUUAAAAUUUCACAAUGGGGAAAACAGGCUAAUGCUGGUCUCCUUUCUCACAACAUUGUGGUAGAAGCAGUAGCGGUCGUGGUAAGGGUACAUUAAUAGUAGACGCAUUUGUUUAAUCUCAGGAGGAGAGGUUUUUCUUCAUAGAACUUUUUGUGUGCUAUGUUAUCUUGUAUUCCCAUUGUGACAAGUUGAUUCACUCUGUUUAUGUGAGAUCAUGAUCAUGUCUGUAUACAAAUCAUAUUUAAUUACACAUGAAUCUCACCUUGAAGAUGGCUCUGAUUUACAUUAUAUUAUAAAAAAAGAAUGCAUUAUAAAUAAAGAUAUAAAUAUAUAUAAAA